AGCGAACGCUGGCGGCAGGCCUAACACAUGCAAGUCGAACGAACUCUUCGGAGUUAGUGGCGGACGGGUGAGUAACACGUGGGAACGUGCCUUUUGGUUCGGAAUAACUCAGGGAAACUUGUGCUAAUACCGAAUGUGCCCUUCGGGGGAAAGAUUUAUCGCCAUUAGAGCGGCCCGCGUCUGAUUAGCUAGUUGGUGAGGUAACGGCUCACCAAGGCGACGAUCAGUAGCUGGUCUGAGAGGAUGACCAGCCACACUGGGACUGAGACACGGCCCAGACUCCUACGGGAGGCAGCAGUGGGGAAUCUUGCGCAAUGGGCGAAAGCCUGACGCAGCCAUGCCGCGUGAAUGAUGAAGGUCUUAGGAUUGUAAAAUUCUUUCACCGGGGACGAUAAUGACGGUACCCGGAGAAGAAGCACCGGCUAACUUCGUG
rnacentral:rRNA from 1 species